UAAACAGCGGAGGUCAUUAGUGGGGAGGACGAGUAGUUAGAAGCCUGAAUGGAUUCGGUGACGAUGGCAGUUGGGACAAAUCCGAAGUAUUAAGGAGGCAGAAUCCAUUGGCUUCAGUAAUAAUUCGAAACUGGGUGACUUGUGAAGGGGAAGAAGAUGUCAAGAGUGACUUCAGAUUUGCUGACCCGGAGGCUGGAGAAGUCCAGCCAGGCCCCCACGGUGCCAUUAUUUUCCAACUUUCGCAACACAGGCCACUGUCCCCUUUAGGUCUCUGCUUCCACUUCUCGGAACAGGAAAGUUGAUCUAGAGAAGUGACUUUCUAAUUAUAGUCCCCAGGGCCAUCCUGCUGGUGUGGCUGGGCCUCAGGGAGAGAGCCCAGGGCUGGAGACAGAAGGUUUAGCUGUGCCUUAGCUCUGCCUGUGAGCUAGGACAGUAGACAGGACACUGUUUCUGAACCUGAGCCUUCAUUUGUCUAAAUGGAGAUAAUGUAUUCAUUUACUCAAUAAACAAACAUUCUGGGCAAAAGAUAAAAAGAAUGGGACUUGCUCACAGCUCGGGAGGAGGAGCAGACAUAUAAACAAUUAUAAAGGAGCUCGGUGAGCCCCUGAGGGAUUCUUCGGAAAGCAAGACUUGGAUCAACACCGUGCUAUUAACACUCAGCCUACAGAGAGGCGGGCUAGCUUGACAUCGAGGGUGGAUGCGCCAGUGGUGGGCUUCCAGGCACCAAAGACAGGCCUUACUCCAAAUUCUACAAGCUAGUACCAACCUAUCUAGACUAUGUACUGCAGGUUCUAGAGGGCAGAUACUGCACUUAGUUCAUAGUUGUAUCUCCAAUGCCUACGCCAUGCCUGGCACAUGGCAGGUGACAAGUAACUGUGUAUGGAGUGAAUAAAGCUCCACAGAAUCUUUC